rnacentral:rRNA from 1 species
CCCUUAGAUGUUCUGGGCAGCACGCGCGCUACAAUGGUCUUCGCAAACGGAUGCAUUCUCGAAGGAGAAUGCCAAUCUUGGAAUCUAUGCCUUGGUCGGGACAGUUGCUUGCAAUUUUUCGACUCGAACCAGGAAUUCCUUGUAAUCGUGAUUCAUCACAUCACGAUGAAUACGUCCCUGCCCUUUGUACACACCGCCCGUCGCUACUACCGAUUGAAUGGUUUAGUGAGGACUCCUGAUUGGCGCCGCCGCCCCGGCAACGGAGCAGUGGACUGCCGAAAAGUUGUUCAAACUUGAUCAUUUAGAGGAAGUAAAAGUCGUAACA